UUCGAACUGCCGACCUUUUGGUUAGCAGCUGUAGCUCUUAACCACUAUGCCACCAGGGUUUCCCCAUCCUCACUAGGUCCUGAAUUACUCUGUGCCUCAGUUUCCCCAUCUGUGUCAGGAAGAUGCUUGUUGCUCAGACAGGUAGUGAGGAUUAGGUAACAAGUCUGCAGGCUGGGAGUAAGGCAUGGUGAUGGCUGUGGUGACAACUCCAAGUGUCCUGGUUCACUCUUUUCCCCCAUUACAGCAUUUAUAACAUCAUUAUUUACUGUGAUUGGGGCUUCCUCUCAGGAGUCCUGGCUGGGACACUGAGUCCUAGCUUUUACUAGUCCCACAAAAACCAGUCUAGUGGUCUUAGGAGCACGACAGCCAUCUCCCUUGCCCCAGUAAGUACCUCCCUCCCUUCCAACCAAAAACCAAACCCGUUGCUGUGAGUCAAUUCUGACUCAUGGUGACCUCAUGUGUUACAGAGUAGAACUUGGCUCCAUAGGGUUUCUUGGCUGUAAUCUUUACAGAAGCAGAUUGCCAGGCCUUUCUUCCUUGGUGCUGCUGGGUGGGUUUGCACCGCCAAACUUUAGGUUAGCAGUCAAGUGUAAACUGCUUGUCACCAAGGACCUCCUCCUCCCAGAGGGGCUGCUAAUUCUUUGAAUGAGUGGCAGACACUGGAACCAAACCAAUUUACCCCCUGCCUCCUCUUUGAGACAGCUUCCUAGAAAAGUCCUCUCCUCCUACCUCCUGCAUUUACUCAUUCAAGGGCUUAUAUAAGAGUCCUAGGUGAGGUGUUGCCAUUCUCUCCAGACACAGCUGACAGCUGGCUCCCCACUGGACCCCAGGGGCCAGCUGCUCUGCUUUCAGCUGACCCAACAGGGAAAAGGCUGAGCAGGAGUGGGGGUGGAGAUGGAGAUUACCUGGAUGCUUUCCAUAGCCACUGGGUGACCCUCAGGUUAAAAUGCAACAGUCCCCACUCUGGGCCAGGGAGAAUCUCUUGAGUCAUUACUUCUUAUUUGGGAAAAGUGAUCCUUGGCUGGAGCCUGGGAACAGUUCCCAGUGUGGGAAUUCUCUGUCUUAGUCCAGGAAGUGCUGCAGGGGGUGAGAGAUACAUGUUGUAGAAAUUCCUGAAAUAUCAGUAACUCUCCAGCUCGGAGGUAGACUUUACUCUCGCUUUCACCACCAGGAGAGACUUUUAGAUCUGUAUUGGUUUAAAGGACUCCCUUCUCUCGCUGGAACAAUGUAUCCAUUUAGAUAAUUAUUGGGCCAAGCCUAUUUAUCUUAAUCAGGGUCAGGCAGCUGGCAUCCUGCAGGGAGGGUUUGGGCUUGUGCUCUGGGUUGGGGCCCUGAAGUCCUGGAAGUUCCAGAGAUAGCAGGUGGCCUUGCAUGGGAAUUUUCAGUUGCUGUUGACCAUGUUGGAGCCCUGGUGGCACAGUGGUUAAGAGCUUGGCUGCUAACCAAAAGGCUGGCAGUUCAAAUCCACCAGCCACUCCUUGGAAACCCCGUCGGGCAGUUCUACUCUGUCCUAUAGGGUCGCUAUGAGUCUGAAUCCACUCGAUGGCAACGGGUUUGUUUGUUUUUGCUGACCAUGUUGAGAAGUGAAAAUUCAGGAAUCAAAGUUAUGGGGAGAUAAGAUCCUUGACCUGGGACCUGCACGGUUCCACUGCCCACAGUCCCAUGCUAUCGAGCAUUCUUCGCUGUCCCAAGCUUGUAAAUAAACCCACUGCACAACCUGCAGACAGGAAUUCAAAGCCCUUAGCCCAGAAGCAGCUGGGCCUUGGAGGUGUUUGCUCAUGACCUUUUCUCUCACCGCAACCCGAGGCUCUGGGAGGAGCUGAGGUCUGAGCUGCUGUGCCAGGAUGCUGCCUCUGCCGGUGCCGCGUCCUGCUGCCUUCCUGGGUCCCGUCACAUCCUCCUUGCUCAGCCACUGAGUGCACAGCAUGGAAGCCACUCUCCCCUGUUUGGAAGGCAGUGUGUGGCUCUGCAUGGUAGAGUUGUGGUUGAUGACUGAAGCAGGAUCCCUUUUCUCAGACUCUCUGUAGCCAAGCUGUGUUGGAGGAAAGGGAGGCACUUCAUGCCCCACAGGCCCAGAAGAUGGAAGGACCAGCGGUAGGCCGGGUUCUCAGGCUCUUCCGCAACCAGCUGCCCUGGCUCCGAACAGGAUCUUCCCAGGCCAAUGCAGAGGAAGCUGUAAAGGAACCUGAAAGGGCCCGGGAGCUCCCUCUGCCCAGGUUUGUUGGAGGACAGCACUUCUUUGAAUAUCUUCUUGUGGUUUCUCUCAAAAAAAAGCAUUCCGGGGAUGAUUAUGAGCCUACAAUCACCUACCAGUUUCCCAAGCGGGAGAACCUGCUACGGGGCCAACAGGAGGAGGAAGAACGGCUGCUCAGUGCCAUCCCCUUGUUCUGCUUCCCAGAUGGGAAUGAGUGGGCGCCUCUCACUGAAUAUCCCAGGGAGACAUUCUCCUUCGUUCUGACCAAUGUGGAUGGGAGUAGGAAGAUUGGAUACUGCAGGCGCGUCUUGCCCACCGGCCGUGGCCCUCGCCUUCCCACAGUGUACUGCAUCCUCAGCUGCAUCGGCUGCUUCGGCUUGUUCUCCAAGAUCCUGGAUGAAGUGGAGAAGCGGCAUCAGAUCUCCAUGGCGGUCAUCUACCCGUUCAUGCAGGGCCUCCGAGAGGCAGCCUUCCCUGCUCCUGGGAAGACUGUCACCCUCAAGAGCUUCAUCCCUGACUCAGGCACUGAGUUCAUCUCCCUGACACGGCCCCUGGACUCCCACCUAGAGCACGUGGACUUUAAUUCUCUGUUGCAGUGUCUCAGUUUUGAGCAGAUUCUACAGAUCUUUGCGUCUGCGGUGCUGGAGAGAAGAAUCAUUUUCCUGGCAGAAGGCCUCAGCACCCUCUCCCAGUGCAUUCACGCCACUGCUGCACUGCUCUACCCCUUCAGCUGGGCACACACCUACAUCCCUGUUGUCCCAGAGAGCCUUCUGGCCACCGUCUGCUGCCCUACCCCCUUCAUGGUUGGAGUGCAAAUGCGGUUUCAGCAGGAGGUUAUGGACAGCCCCAUGGAAGAGGUCCUGCUGGUCAAUCUUUGUGAAAGAACGUUUUUAAUGUCGGUUGGUGAUGAAAAAGACAUUUUACCACCCAAACUUCAGCAUGACAUCUUAGACUCUCUUGAUCAGGGGACCAAACAUUUACAGACUUCAGAACAAAUCAAUGAACAUGUUUCAGGGCCUUUUGUGCAGUUCUUUGUCAAGACUGUGGGCCACUAUGCUUCCUAUAUCAAGUGGGAGGCAAAUGGGCAUGGCCACUUCCAAGAACGGUCCUUCUGUAAGGCUCUGACCUCCAAGGCCAAGCGCCGAUUCGUGAAGAAAUUUGUGAAGACACAGCUCUUCUCCCUUUUCAUCCAGGAAGCUGAGAAGAGCAAGAGUCCUCCUGCAGGCUAUUUCCAACGGAAAAUACUUGAAUAUGAGGAACAGAAGAAACAAAAUAAACCAGGGAAAAGACUGUGAAGUAAGAACUGUGGUGGACAGGCGUGAUGAGACCUAGAGGACAGUUCUGGACUCGGGCCCCUGCCUGGAUGGCAGGCUCAGUGAAGCUCUCUGCCCCAGCUUCCACGGCCUUCUUCCAAGUCCUGGUAACCAGAUCUUGCUUCCUGCUGGUGUCUGAGUUUGGGAUCCUUGGAAUCAACUUUCUCAGGACUUUGGAGGCUCUGGCGCCUAUGCUUACAGAGCUGAACUGAAAGCUGCGUUUUUUGCAGAAGUGACACAGCGGGGAGCCAGUAGUACAGAUGUUGUACAGGCUUGGUUAGAAGUUGCUGGAACUGCCCUCUCCCAGGAACCACUAGUACAAAACCCUCAAGCAGAGAAAGCAGUUGUGGCCCCAAGGCUCAGCUCCUCAACAUGAAAAAGUACUGUUUUGGGACAGUAUGAAGAAAUAUCUUGCCCUCGCAAACAAUGAAAAAGGAAGUCAGCUACAAGAAAAUAUGAGGCAAAGUGAAGGGAGAGCUGGAAUCAGAGGAAUCCCAAGCCUCAACAGGUAAUACCUUAAAAAUUGGUGCCAACUGAAACCACAAAUAAAAACAGUAUCUUAAAUUCUCAAAAAAUAAAAAUCACUAAAAGUGUUGCCAUUUUCACCCCACACUCAAAAUCAAGGCUGGUGGGCACACUCUGUCUUUCCCAAUCUUGCUCUUUUUGGCAUUAUUUCGUGGGACUCAUCCACAGUGGCCAAAGUGCACCCACACUAUAGAAAUAGCCAGAGAACUAUAUUGAAAACACCUUCGCCUCAGGCCUACCCAGAGUUUCUGUAGUCUUUGAGACCUGGGAAGAAUAAGAGCUCUCUUAGGUCAUGGAAGGAGCCCUAGUGGCACAGUGGUUAAAGCACUCAGUUGCCAACCAAAAGGUUGGCAGUUCAAACCCAUCUUUCUGUGGGAGAAAGAUGUGGCAGUCUGCUUCCAUAAAGAUUUAGAGCCUUGGAAACCCUAUGGGGCAGUUCUAUGCUGUCCUAUAGGGUUGCUAUGAAUCAUAAUUGACUAGAUGGCAAUGGGUUUGGUUUUGGUAGGUCAUGCAGUCUGCCCUAUAAGCCAGAGGAAUAGCCUUGGGAUUCAUGCCAUGAAAUAAUGCAUCCAAAUAAUAUCAGUCUAAUCUAAUUCAUUUUCAAAAAGGUUAGAGGUAGAAAAACCAGUAUCUUAAAUUCUCAACAGCUUUACCAGAUUAUAAGGGAUAUAUGUUUUGGUUCAAUAGUUUGGGUUAAUGUAGAAUAUCAUUAUUAAGCUGUUAGACUAGUGUUCUUAUGGGCAUAACGACAUUUUCUUAGAGGUUUUGUAAAUUUAAGCAGAAACAGAAAGUAGUAUUUUGAGAUUAGUGACUUUCUUCCAAACAAUGUAGCAAUGCCUCUUCACAGUUUUAAUAUAAAUAAAUUCCACCAAAACACAGCAAACGUUAACAUAGAUACUAGUCUCCACCAAGUGUUUAAGGAAAAUCAAUAUGCUUGAAUUAUUUAAGUGUGAGACACUUUUAAAGGGCACUUUUUAAGAAUGAGAGGAAAUAAAUUGCACUAUGUAGUGCAUGAAGUCCUACCUAAUGAAUCCUGAAACUUCACCUCACUCACUUCCCUAAACUGGAAUCUGGUAGCUUGAUACAUAUUUUACCAACUACUAGAUUUAAAAGACUCAAACAUCAGUGAAAGUAACCAUGAGUGGAUUAUAUGUGACUCUCUUCCAAAGUGAUGAUAGUCUUCUUCUUUUUUUAAACAAAAGAAUGAUAUGAAAGAAUAUAGUUCCAAGACAUUCUAAAGGUAAUAUUCUUGGGGGAAGUAAUACACAAAAAAUGUGGUGGGUUUUUGUUUGUUUCUUACAAUGUGCAAACCAUGCACCAAUUUUUGUGCAUGAAAAUGUCUUUCCUUUAAAAACAUGAAAACAAACAAAAAACUCAACAUAAACUAACUGCUUUAGUAAAUUUAUUGCCAGGCACCACCUAAGAAAUAAAGACACAUGUACAACACGUGUACAUGCAUAAUUUCAUUCACGUUUUAUGCAUCUCCAUAUUGAAAAUGAUAAUUAGAUACAUAAACCAGAUUCUGACUUGUUUUCAGAUAAUCAAGAAAUCCCACUUUUUUGAUACUGGUAUGCUGAAACUUUAUACGUAAUUCAUCUAUGUUAAAAAUAUUCAAAAUAAUUUUUAGGGGGAAAAUUUUGGUGUAAAACAUAAGACCUAUGCAAAUAAUAUAAUAAUUAACAGUCAAGGGAUAUAAAAAAGUUGAGUGUGGGUAGGAUCCUUUAGGUUUUAUGAUCUGGUUUCUGGAUUAAGUUUCCUUUCCUUCCUAUAAUGCUAAAUUGUUAAAAUAAGACUAUUUAAUCUACUAUCGAGCAAAAGUAAAUAAAAUUCACAUCUUUCCUAUAUAUUAGUCUCAAAAGCCAACAGGGUCUCUAGAGAAAUCUGUAUUAUGUACAUAACAGAAUACUUUCAGAAUUUCCUAGUUCACUGUAGAUAAUUUUUACUCCUUCCUCUCCUUCCUCAUGCUCAUUUCUCCAACAAAAGGCAUUAAACAAUUUAUGGUAAUAAAUGUUUAAGGAAAUGUGUCAAUUAUACUUCUUCAAGCACCUAAUUUACUGCUAAAAAAUGAGUCAGGUAAGAGGAAUUUUUUGCACACUAAACUUCUCUUAUACUUGAUUCUAUCAAAUGAAUUAUAAAUACUGUAUUCUGAAGGGGUGGUGGUAGCAAUCCACAGUCAGCUGAUGACCAAGGAGUACAAACUACUUAGACUCAAAUCUAGAAGAAUACAUUCCAAUUAUAAAAGCAGCAACAACUUUUAUUAUUGAGUGCUUAUUAUUCGAUAGACACUGUUCUAAGUGCUUUACACAUAUUACCUCAUUUAAUCCACAAAAUAAACUUAUGAGAUAGGUACUACAGUAAAACCUGUGAAAGCCAGAACCUGUGUAAGGUAGAAAACUGUCAGAGAAGGAAAACUCAAAUGUUUUCCACUAAAAGGACAGAUAGGAAAGUGGAAAGACUGCACCUUAUUAAAGGAGGAAAACUUGUGAGACUCGGAAAAACAAGGCAGUCCCCUUGAGUUCAGGCUCUCACAGGUUUCACUGCAUUAUUGUCCUUAUUUUAGAGAGGAAGAAACUAAGCCACAGAGAGUUAAACAACAGAUUAAGUUCACAGAGUAGGCAGGGAAGACUGGAUCAAACUCGGCCAGUCUGGUUCUAGAUCCUGUACUCUUGACCUCCAUGCUAUAUUCCCCCUCUCAGAGUUUUGUGGGAAAAAAAUUUUGUGCUAGAGAGGGGUAACUAUAUUUCAGGUCAGGUUGAAAAUCAAAGUCCUGGCUUAUUAAAAUAAUCCCAUGGCACUGAUUUCAAUAAGGAUUAAUGCUGUUUAGGGGUCAGAGUGAAUUUAGUACCCCAAAUUUGUUAUACAGCUUUAAGCAUAUGACAGAAAAACUAGCAGACUCAUGUAGUUCAGAAGGAGAAUGAAAGAUCUGACUUCAUCUUGUCACUCACUGGUUUGUCAACCUUUAUACCAUCUGCUGUUUCCUUAUCUGUAAAACAGGAUGGCAACAGUAACUCAGAUUCUCAAUGGCCUUCAAAAACAAUAGUCCUGGAAUGGAUCUAAUGCACCACAUUAACUCCAAGCAGUAAAAUGUAUCAUGCCCUAAAGAGAAGUUUGUGUCCUACCGUUGCCAUGACUUUUCAUCUCCAGAAAGAAUAAAAUAAGUACACGUUAUCCUUUAACUGGUUUAUACUAUAUUAGAAAAGACAAGCAAAAAACAACAAGAAUUACAUGGGAUACACAAUGUGAACAGUUACCAUAGAUUGCCAAAAAGGUGGUCCUCCAAUCACUGCCAGCAAAUGCAUGAUUAUUAUGAAGAUUUGCACUUCAGUCACAUCAAUUCUGAUUAGGUACAAAAAGCCAAAAAAAGCAGAAUUACUCAAAACAACUUCAAGUUAAUUAUUUGCAAGCUUAGCAGCAUUCCUCUAUCAUGCACAAUAGAAACAAAAUCUCAAAUAUUGAGGAAAAGGGAAAAGGAGGCAUCAAAAAUUUGUUAUGAACAAAAUCUAGUAAAAUCCAGAGCCUUUUAAUUUAAUCUGAUGAAUUUCACAGAGCAAUAAAAACCCCUCCUUUCCAAAGGAAAUUUCUGACUCAUUGCACUUGGGCUGAAACUAUAGCUUAACCUUUCCCAUCAAACAAAAGGAGAUUGGGGAUAAAUUUCGAAUGUCAAGCAGAGGAUUACACUGCACUGCUGUGUAAUAUGAAAUCUUGAAACAAGUUCUUUGUAGUUAUUAGGUGGAAAGAAUGGUGAGCUUUUACUAAAGUAACAUAAAUCACUGAAACCCUACAAAAUUGACUGCCCUUUAGACAUCUUCAUUUAAUGCUUGCUAUGUAUGGCACAUGUAUGAAAAUUUCACCCAAUUCUUAAUCAAAUUAUUCUUCUCACUAGGUCAACUAUCCUAAGAUUUCUGGAAAGAAUAUCCUGAAAAAAGCCAAGAAUUAGUUUUGGGGUUGCUGAAAAUUAUCUCACAGUCAAGAAGAGAUAAACCUGAUACAAAAACAGGGCAGUAGAAAUUAGAAGUCUGAAAGUCUGAAAAAAGAGUAUCAGCAAAAAGAUUGAGUAGCAAAGCAAAGCAUAAACUGGUAUUCCUUUCCUUCUGUAGACCAGUCCUUUGUAUAAUCUUGUGGUUAUCAUUCUCAGAUUACUGGAUCCAAAUGCAUUUUGACAAUUUAUCCUACAGAUAUACUUGCACAAAAUGAUAUUCGUACCAGGUUCUUCAUUGUAGUAUUAUUUCUAACAGCAACAUUAAAAAAAAAAAAAUCCCUCAAUGAGGAAAUGGUUACAUAAAUUAUGGCACUUCCAUAAAAAAUGGAAUAUUUUGUAGUUUAAAAAAAAAAGAGCAAGGCAACUCCCUACAUACUGAUAUGGAAAAAUAUCCAAAACACAUUAAGUGAAAAAAACAUGCUGCAGAAUGAUGUAUAUGCUACUUUUUGUGUAAAAAAGAAAAAUAAUAUUCUAUUUUUUUUUUUGCCAGCAAUUGCAUAACACAUUUCUGGAAGUAUGCAUUAUAAACUAAGAAAAGGAGUCACCUAUUGGGGGAAGACAGUGUGAAAACUGAGAUGCUGGGGGAUAAGGAUAGGAAGACAACUCUUUACUACAUGCCUUUUUUAUAAUGCUAGUUUUUGAAUAAAGUAAAUAAUUUAUCCAAGAAGGUAAAUUAAAAAAAAAAAAAAAAAGUAA